rnacentral:rRNA from 1 species
GGGUCAGUAGGUUGGUCGUGCCACCGGUACGUACUGGUCUCGCUGAUUCCUCCUUCCUGAAGAACCGUAAUGCCAUUAAUUUGGUGUUGCGGGGAAACAGGACUGUUACUUUGAAAAAAUUAGAGUGUUUAAAGCAAGCUAACGCUUGAAUACAUUAGCAUGGAAUAAUGAAACAGGACGAUCGAUCCUAUUUUGUUGGUUUCUAGGAUUGACGUA